CCUACGGGAGGCAGCAGUGGGGAAUAUUGGACAAUGGGGGCAACCCUGAUCCAGCCAUGUCGCGUGUGUGAAGAAGGCCCUCGGGUUGUAAAGCACUUUCAGUGAGGAAGAACGCCUGGUGGUUAAUACCCAUCAGGAAAGACAUCACUCACAGAAGAAGCACCGGCUAACUCCGUGCCAGCAGCCGCGGUAAUACGGAGGGUGCGAGCGUUAAUCGGAAUUACUGGGCGUAAAGCGCGCGUAGGUGGCUUGAUAAGCCGGUUGUGAAAGCCCCGGGCUCAACCUGGGAACGGCAUCCGGAACUGUCAAGCUAGAGUGCAGGAGAGGAAGGUAGAAUUCCCGGUGUAGCGGUGAAAUGCGUAGAGAUCGGGAGGAAUACCAGUGGCGAAGGCGGCCUUCUGGACUGACACUGACACUGAGGUGCGAAAGCGUGGGUAGCAAACAGGAUUAGAUACCCCUGUAGUC
rnacentral:rRNA from 1 species